UACGUAGGGUGCAAGCGUUAAUCGGAAUUACUGGGCGUAAAGGGCGCGUAGGCGGCCUGCUAAGUCGAACGUGAAAUCCCUGGGCUCAACCCAGGAACUGCGUCCGAUACUGGUUGGCUUGAAUCCGGGAGAGGGAUGUGGAAUUCCAGGUGUAGCGGUGAAAUGCGUAGAUAUCUGGAGGAACACCGGUGGCGAAGGCGACAUCCUGGACCGGUAUUGACGCUGAGGCGCGAAAGCCAGGGGAGCAAACGGG
rnacentral:rRNA from 1 species